rnacentral:rRNA from 1 species
GAUAACCCCGGGAAACUGGGUAUAAUACCCGAUAGGUCUCGAUUGCUGGAAUGCAUCGAGAUUUAAAGCUCCGGCGCCUAAGGAUGGGUCUGCGGCCUAUCAGGUAGUAGUGGGUGUAGCGUACCUACUAGCCUACGACGGGUACGGGUUGUGAGAGCAAGAGCCCGGAGAUGGAUUCUGAGACACGAAUCCAGGCCCUACGGGGUGCAGCAGGCGCGAAAACUUUACAAUGCUGGCAACAGCGAUAAGGGAACCUCGAGUGCCAGGUUACAAAUCUGGCUGUCGAGAUGCCUAAAAAGCAUUUCAUAGCAAGGGCCGGGCAAGACCGGUGCCAGCCGCCGCGGUAACACCGGCGGCUCGAGUGGUAACCGUUAUUAUUGGGUCUAAAGGGUCUGUAGCCGGCCGGAUAAGUCUCCUGAGAAAUCUGGCAGCUUAACUGUCAGGCUUUCAGGAGAUACUGUCUGGCUCGAGGCCGGGAGAGGUGAGAGGUACUUCAGGGGUAGGGGUGAAAUCUUGUAAUCCUUGAAGGACCACCAGUGGCGAAGGCGUCUCACCAGAACGGACCUGACGGCAAGGGACGAAAGCUAGGGGCACGAACCGGAUUAGAUACCCGGGUAGUCCUAGCCGUAAACGAUACUCGCUAGGUGUCGGCCACGGUGCGACCGUUGUCGGUGCCGUAGGGAAGCCGUGAAGCGAGCCACCUGGGAAGUACGGCCGCAAGGCUGAAACUUAAAGGAAUUGGCGGGGGAGCACCACAACGGGGUGGAGCUUGCGGUUUAAUUGGAUUCAACGCCGGAAAUCUUACCGGGACCGACAGCAAUAUGAAGGCCAGGCUGAAGACUUUGCCGGAUUAGCUGAGAGGUGGCGCAU